rnacentral:rRNA from 1 species
CGCGCAGGCGGCCUAACAAGUCAGGCGUGAAAGCCCCGGGCUUAACCUGGGAAUUGCGCUUGGGACUGGUAGGCUGGAGUUCGGGAGAGGAGAGUGGAAUUCCCAGUGUAGAGGUGAAAUUCGUAGAUAUUGGGAAGAACACCGGUGGCGAAGGCGGCUCUCUGGACCGAUACUGACGCUGAGGCGCGAAAGCGUGGGGAGCAAACAGGAUUAGAUACCCUGGUAGUCCACGCUGUAAACGAUGUGCGCUAGACGUUGGAGGGCGUAGCCUUCCGGUGUCGCAGCUAACGCUUUAAGCGCACCGCCUGGGGAGUACGGCCGCAAGGUUAAA